UUACUGGCUGGAGAUCAGUGUGUUGUGAUGUUUACAUCAGGCUCCUUCCCUGCUUAGUACUGACUAAGGGCCUGACCUUCCCGGAGGAGAAAUAGGACUCCCUCAGGCUGUACCCCGACUGAGGAUGUAUUUUCUAGGUCUUCCCUUCACAGGUAAGGAUGGAGACCAUCUACCAACUUUCUAAGAUUCCAUUCAACUCUGUGAUUCUGUACAAAAUUAAUUCCCUAGAUCUCCCAAAGUGGUAAUUAAAGAGAAAGAAGACUAUACUCACCAGUAUGAGAGAACAAAUAGGACAAACUAGGUGACUCUUAAAAAUAUUAGUUUCCAUUUUUAGGGUUGAAGAGGAUACCAAGGAUUUGAACAAGUGUGUAUGGUGAGGCAUAAGUGGUGAGGACAAAAAUCCCUCCAUUAGGCUGGGAAUAGAAGGCGAUACAUGAGCUGUUAUUACAUCUCCGAGGCACCUUGUUCAGAGCAGACACCCAAUUUGUAUUUGUUAAAUGCAUUUAAUAGCCCUAUGGGAAUUACAAUUAGAAAUUUAAUUAUUCUUUCUAGAAUUGCUUAGUUCCCAUGAGUUUAGAAGCAUUGUGGUUGAGAAUGUUGCUUAUAUAAAUUUGAGACAUUUAGAAAUUUAGCUCCCAAUUCAGCAGCAGGCAGCGUUAUUUUUAUUUGGGUUACACACAAAGAGCACAGAUUAUUUACUGAUUAGCUGGACUAGGUCUUGCUUGGCCUCCAGUGGAGUACACGUUCUAUGAAGAGUUAUGGGUUCACAUUUCCCGUUCCAUGUAUCAUAAACAUUGCCUGCAGUGUUGGAGAGUUAUUAAAUAUACCCCUUUGAUGAGGCAAAUUGUUUCACAGUAAGUUUAAAAAAAAAGUUAGUUCUGCCUCCUUGCAUAUACUAAUGUUAGAAAAGAAACAAUUAAAGGUCAUAUGAAUGAGUCAUGUAUGAAACAUUCCUUUAGAGAAGAAAAUUCAUCAUGGAAAAGCAGAUGUUGUGGCUGAUUAUAUUAACUUCUUAUACGGAUUGAUUGUCCUUUAUCCAAAAUGCUUGGGACCAGAAGUGUUUUUUAAAUUUUGGAUUCUUUCAUAUUUGAUUUUUUUUUCAUUUAAAAGAGAAAAACCACAGAAAAGAAAAAAGAGACAACAACACACUCCAAACAAUAACAAUGUAGGCUUUGAAAACAAUAUGAUAGGAAUUUGACAAUGGGUGUUAUAUUGCAUAUUGUUAUCUUCAGAAGAGUUGCUUAGAUUGUUAGAUAUAGACAUGCGAAAUUGAUCUAAUCAUGUGUUAACUGUUCUUUUCCAAUAACUAAUGCAAUUAGUAAUACAGUCCUCUUAGCCAUCAUAUGUAUAUAUACACAAGUUUAUGUCUUCUUCCCUUUCCCUUCCUCCUCUCCCCCACUCCAGUUACUCUUCCCCUUUGAGCAGUUUCUUAGCCUUACACAAUAUUUAUUAUAGAUUUUGGAUCUUACUUUCUCUUUCAGUCUUUUACUGGGGAGACAAUACGGUAUUUAUGCAUGUGAGUUUGAUUUAUUUCACUUACAAAUAUGAUCUCAAGUCUCAUCCACUUACCUACAAACCUAGAUACAAUCCUUCCUUAUAGCUGAGUACUCCAUGGCAGUUCCAAUCAAAAUACCAUUAGUGUACCUCACAAAUCUAAAGAAAUUGUUCAUAAAAUUCAUCUAGAACCAGUAGAGACUUAGAAUAGCAAAGGAAAUCCUGGACAACAAAGGCAAGGCAGGAGGCAUCACAAUCCCCAAAUUAAAAUUAUACUACAAAGCUACUGUGAUAAAAUUAUCAUGAUACUAGAAUAAAAACAGGCCUGAAGAUCAAUGGAAUAGAUUAGAAGAUACAGCCACAACUGCAAACAGUCUCAGCCACAUUAUCUUCAACAAAGGGGUCAAACAUGUUCACUGGAAGAAAGACAGACUUUAUAAUAAGUGGUGCUGGAAAAACUGGCUCUCCACAUGCUGAAAAGUAAAGCUAGACCCAGGUCUAUCACCCAGCGUUAAACUAAAGUCAAAAUGAGUCAAAGAUGUAAAUAUUAAAACAGAAACAAUCUGCUAGAAGACAAAUUAGGUAGAAAUCUUGAUGAUGCAGAGGUAGGCAAAAAUUUAUGAACAGAAAUCAAACUGCACAAGAAAAACUUCCCAGAAUCAACAAUUGGGAUCUUGUCUUAUUACAAAGCUUUGCAUAUUAAAAGAAAUCUCCAACAGAGUGAAAAGAAAACAAUGAAUUGGGAAAAUGUCUUGGCCAACUGUCUCUCAGACAAGGGACUUCUCUCUAAAACAUAUAAAGAAUUAAAAAAAUCAGGCCCCCAAAAUUCAAAGACCCAAUCCAAAAAUGGACAUCUGAGAUGAAUAUAUACUUCUCAGAAGAAGAAAUACAAUUGGAAAAUAAAUAUAUGAAAAAAUGUUCAGCAUCAUUGGUCAUUAGAGAAAUGAAAAUUAACACUGAAUUUCCAUCUCACUCCAGAAAGAGUGGCCAGGAUCAAGAAAUCAAGCAAUAACAAACACCGGAGAAGCUAUAGGGGAAGGAACUCUUCUCCACUGUUGGUGGCAGUGUAGACUGGUGCGACCACAUGGAAAGCAGUGCAGAGAUUCCUCAAAAACAUAGGUUCUGUGUGAUCCAGCUAGCCUGCUUCUGGGUAUUUUCCCAGAAGAAUUGAAAUAAUCAUACCACAGUGACACAUCGCACCUAUGUUGAUAGGAGCACAAUUUGUAGUAGCCAAAUCUUAGAUUUUAGAAUAUUUGAAUAUACAUAAUGAGAUAUCUUGAUGAUAGCCCCCAACUUGAAAUUUAUUUUUCAUCUCCAUUUUGUACACAUAACCUGAAGAUAAUUAUAUACGAUACUUUUAAUGUACCUGUGGUUCAACUGAUCUGCCGUGGGAAGUCAGGUGUGGAAUUUUCCUCUUGUAGUGUCAUGUUGACACACAAUAGUUCAUAGUUGGGAACAUUUAGUAUUUUUAGAUUGGAAAUUCUCAAUCUGUAUUUUUUAAAAAUGGCAAAUUCUAAACCAAGCAUCUCCUUAGAAGAAAAGAGGCUGCCUGUAGGCCCAUCUUCCCCAGAGGUGGAGAAGCCUCAUAACAAGCCAUUUGCAAAGCAGGAGCGCCUGGAAUGCGGGUAGCACGGCUUGAUCUGAACUCAAAGGUCUUGGAACCAGGGAGGGUGAUGAUGUAAUUCUCAGACCAACACUUAUAGCCUACAAACUGGUCAGGGGUGGGAUUUGCUGGAGCCCUAGAGUCCAAAGGCAAGAAAGCUUGGAGUUCUUUAUGUCCAAGGGGAGGAGAAGAGGAGUAUCCCCCAACACACAUGUUAGCUUCUUUGUUGUGUUUGUGCUAUCUGAGCCCCCAGCCAACUGGUUGGUGCCCUCACACUUCAGGUGAAUCCUCUCCACUGAGCCCACCCAGACUUACAUAUCAUUUUCCAAGAACACACUCUCAGGCACAUCUAGAGUUAAUGCUUUUCCCAGUUCUUUAGAAUUCCUUAAUUCAAGUUGACACCUAAAAUAAACUAUCGCACUCUCAUUCCCCUAUGUCCCUGAGGUGGCCUCUUUUUCUGGCUAAAACAGCAUCUCAGUAGCAUUGUACGCCCACGGGAGCAACUACUAGCUAAUCCUCUGUAAGAAUAUUUUCUUAGUGAAGGAGGCUUUCUGCCUUUAACUGCCCCAGGAUCUUUCCUGAGGGCCCUGCGCUCCAGAGCUAUUGCCAUGGGCGUCCUUGACACCUUAACUAGUCUGACCUAGGAACUGUGCUACCCACACCAUUCUUAUAACCACUACUGCCUUCUGCUCCCUCUGUGUCUCUCAGGGGUCCACGCCUCUUCUCAGCAGGGUUCCUAGAGACCUGCCAGACCCCGUGGUCUGCUCCUAAACAAGAUUCUUUGUUAUCUAUCUCACUAUUCAAUUUGGCAAGAGAAUAAGACCUACCUAUUUCCUGUAUCAGAAUCACACAGCACAGUCAUAUACUUGUUGGUUGUCUCCAUGGUACUGGGUGGAAAACCAUGCUUUUUAAAUAAAGUACUACUGGGAACUUUUCCCUUUAAGUAAUUAGCAUCCUCCAAUGUUUUUCUUUUUCAUUUUAAAUGUUUGUGUUCCUGUGAAAGUUUCCCAGGAAGGAAUCAAAUCACUGUAAGCUUUGUAAUAAAAACUAAGACUCACAGUUGAAUGUAGUCUCCAGUGAAAAUUCUUUUUACAGAACAUAAAGUCCAUGGUCCUUCUGACCUCUAUACCCCCUCUCUGGGCACCCUUGAAUGUGCUCAUAAGGUCAAGUGUGGAACCCAGAGGCAGAUGAGGUUAGCCUUUACUGUGAAAAGGCAUACGGUCAUGUGUUAACGUUUUUGGUGUAAGAGAUGAUCAGGGCACCAAAGAGUGGGACAGUCAUGUUUAAGACCAUGGAAGAGCAGCUUAGAAUCAACCUAGACCCCAGUCCAAAGCAUGUAUUCUUCGUGUCACCUUUUUCUAGCUCAAGGAAGAGAAGCAGAGAUGUAUUCCAAGCCAGGAGGCAUGCUGACCAUCUGCUCCCCUCUGUGAUGAAACCAUCUGUCUAAAUUUACAAAGAUGCUUCAGUGGAGAUAGGACCUCAGUCUGAUCUCUAUACCUAUAAGGUCCUCAUCUCACUAACUCCUAAUGCAAGACUCAAAGAAAGACAUGAGAAAGUAUCCCUGGCAUAGAUGUCUGGCUGCCAUGGCAACGGACCUCUAUGGACCACGUUGGUCAUUGGGCUGGGCCAAUUCCUGGCGACAUAAGCAAAAGUAAGACAGCUUAGGAUGUGGGCAGCUCUCAGAGUGGUGCAGAGGCUACCUAUGUAGGCUCCACACGGACAGAGCAUAGUCAAGGAAAAGAGUAGGUUCCACCGUCAUGGUUAGGCAAGGCUCAGGCAGCCCAUGUGAAUUUCUAGAAGGAAGCAGAGCUUUUCCAACGCCAGCUUCAGCUUCUUCAUCUAGACACAAAGCUGCACUCUGUAAACUGUAUAAAACUACCAAUGCCAGGACCUUGUUUUGACACUCCUCACAUUUUCCCAGAUGAUUUUUUGGAAGCAGUAAUCAAUACCUGGAGGAAAUGUGGGAAAGUUGAACAGAAGUCAUUGGCAGCAUGUGGAACUGGCAUGGAGGAGUUGGUUGACACCUCAUAUUGGCUUAAGAUGGCCCAGAGGGCAGUACUGGGCUACAUGGCAGACUGCAGAAAAGGAUCAACUGGAAUCAGGUCUGGGGAUCAAUUUUGGCGGUUCCAGGAGGCUUCAGCUACCACCUCCUCCUACUAGGUCUUCCCCAUACCUUCUCCAUGGAUUGUGACUUCCCCGCAGUCCCUGGGUAGUAAUGUUUGAGGAGCCCUAUUUCUGAUCCUCUGUUCACUUUAAGCAUUUCUGGGCAUUUUUCCAAGGCCAGUCUGCUGUCAGCCCGACGGACCUUCACUUGGCACUUAGAUGGAGCAGGAUCUGCCUCGCCCCCUGGCUUCUCUCACCUGCUCCAUCCACUCCCUGGAGCCUUGGAUUUCUCUCAGGACAAGCUUGCCAUCUUUACUUUCUCUCUAGAGUGUCUGGGGAAAGGGGCAGGACGCUCAGGUGCCCAGGAGUGCUUGAGCGCUAGAACAGACCUGGAUGAAACACCCCAUCCCCAUUCCACUUUCUAUUUGUGCUGUUUCCUGUGAAGAGUUCUUGACUGAGUUGAUCUUCCAGACAAUGUCCCCGCAUGUGACACCUGACUCACGCAUGACAUCAAGUCCUGGUUGGCUGCUUUCCCAGUCCUUCGUUCCUUGGGACAGAGCACAAACCACCCUGGGCUGUGAUUCUUUUCCUGUGUGGAUAGGGCAAACUUGGGCCCAGAGCCUGGUCUAAGGGUUGCCCUAUCACUGGGUACUUAAGGCAGGACCCGCUGCUGCAAGGGAGGGUAAGACCAAGCACCUUGCACUAUUGCUGCGUGGGGAAGGCAAGAAUGUGGUCAGCAGCUCCUGCUGACAGCUGUUACACAGAAGUCACCUGUGAAUGGGGCGGAGCUCAGUGGUCACCAGACACGGGCAGCCAAGCCUUUCUCUGCUCUUUCCUGUGAUGCUCAAAGGAAGGCAGGAAAUGAAGAGCCCAGAGCUGGAGGAGACAAAUCCUCGAUGGGCAGACACUGUGCAGUCUUUGCUUUUUAAGGAAUGCACCAAAGGUUUGCUGAAACCAUUGUCUAAAGUGCCUUACUGACUUUAAUUUUUACAUAGGUUAUUGAUGAGUGCAGUGUGUGUGUGUGUGUGUGUGUGUGUGUGUGUGUGUGUGUGUAGGGAGGAGAACAUGGUCCCAAGUGAGCUCCACUUUGCACUUGGUGUUGUGAAUGUUGCCAUCUGUUUUAGGGAGUAUACCAUGAAGCAUAUUCCUGAAAAAAUACUGACAUCUACAAGGACAAAAAUAAUACAUCAGUCCCCAAACCCGUUCCCAAACCCCUCCUAGUGAACACUGAAAGGCAGGAAGGUAGACCACACUCCAUAAAAACAAAGCCAUAGUAAUUUUUGUGUUUUGUUUUCCCUUUGUUUAUUCAUACUCUUUUUUUGAAAAACUAAUAUGUGUGAGAUUAAAAGAAUAAAUUAAAGGAAGAUGAGUACAUCAUAAAAUAAUCAUUUUAUGAUUCCAGAUCCCCAUGUCUUUCUCAGGAGACACCACUGUUAAUUGUUCCUUGUUUCUCCUUCUAGAGACAACCUAUGGGUGCUCAAGUAUAGGCCUCUUUUCAUGUCUGAAAAUAUAGGAACAUAGGAUACUUACUGGAGAUGCUUACGUUUUCAGUCUAUAAUAUAUGCUAUUUUAUAUUUGAAAAGUAUUCAGUUAAAUUUUAUUUUUAUAUAAUAGCUAAGAACUUGGUGUAUUUAAGCUGAAUAUAUUCGUUUUGGGGGCCUCGAAGUUCCUAAAACAUCCCUUUAUUGGGAUGAGUAGGCAUUGGCUUAGCAGGUCGUCUCAGCUGGUAGCAUCUAGAGCUGAUCCUCCUGGUGUGUGGGAGGGAGUGUGUCCCCUGACCCCACCCACCACGGGGGCACAGCCUUGCAUGCAGCUGGGACCUCAGGCAGACAAUGCAGUGGACUUGGAGAGCAUCCAGUCUGCAUUCAGCCUCGGUAAAGUUAGGGAAAAUAUUAUAUAAAUUACCUAUUUGGUUGGUUUUGCUGCUUGCUGAUCAUGUGUUUGUUGUUUGAAGUUGGUAUAAAGUCACUUAUGCUUUGAAAGAGAACUUUAUCUGUAAAUGAGUGCUUCCUUUGGCCUCUCAAUUUAUGCCUCAGUUUUUCGUAUUGCCCAGGCACAUAACUUGCUUCAUCUCUUAGUAACCCCACUUUUCAGCUCCUUGUUCUCAGAGCUGUUUUUAAGUAGAUUCUCAGAUCACACGUUUGUCAGGAGUUCUAGAAGAUGGAUUCUUGAGCACUUUUUAAAAAUUCAUUUUUUUAAUUCUUUUUUUCAAAAUUCAUUUGCCUGAAGUUCACCAUCGAAUUUGUUCCAGUCCCCCAGUCUGAUUUUCUCAUCCCCUCUUCUCUUCUUAAAUGGUCUGUGGCACUCUCUUGGAGAACUCAUGCAACAUUAAAAAUAAGUUCUUGAGUUACACUAAUUUCCUUUAAAGCUAUAUAGAAAUAUUUCUGUGGUCUUUCUGCACUAAAUACUAUUGCAAAAAAACUUGCAGCCUGUUUUCUGUCUAGAUAUAUCCACAUGAUACUUUUGUUUGCAGGAUUUGAUCAGGGUGUUUCUAGAAGCUAGUGGUUCUGUAUCAUUUUCUAAUAAACUAUGUCAUUUGACAUAUACUCUUGCCAUUGACAGACAAGUCACUUUAUUUGGGAAAUUCAUGCCAUCAACCUCCCUUCUGUUGACAUUCAAGGUCACUAAGUGUAUGUAUACUAUUUUUUGUUAAUAAACUUCAUAAUUCAUGUCUUUUUAAUUGAUUUUCUUUACUGUUUAAUUGUUCCUAAUGUGGCUUUUCAACUUCCACUCUAUUUAUUUUAACUUAUUUCUCUAUUCCUUUCCAAGCUCUGUUUAUCUUUCUUUUGGACUACAAUUUCUUCCUUGAUUUUCUUCCUUUUUAAUAGGAUAUUAAGCAGGAUAAUGACCCCUCAAAAUGUCAAUAUUCAUAAUCCCCAGAAUUUAUGAAUAUUUGCCUUACAUAACUGAGAAGAAUUAUAUUUGAAGAAGUAGAGUAUGGAACAAAAGUUGCUAAUCAGCUAGCUUUAAAACAGAGCGGUUGCCCUGGGUUAUCUGUUGCGUGGAUCCACGGUAAUCAGAAAGGUCUUUCAUAAACGGGGGAGGAGGCAGGCAAAAGCCCGAGAGCCAGAGAGACGGGAACAUGAGGCGGUCUCAGCCUGACACUGCUGAAGGCAGGGGUGAUAAGCCGAGGCACAGGGGACCUCUGAAAAGCUGGAGGAGUUGAGUAGAAAGACCCUCCCUGUGGGGGAAAGCAUACACUCCACAAAGAUGCUCAUGUCCUAAUCCCCAGAACAUGUGACCAUACCACUUUUUAUGGUAAACAGAAGUUUGCAAAGGGACUAAAUUUAGUACCUUAAGAUGCAUAGAUGGUGCUGAGCUACCCAAGUGUGUCUCAGGUAAUCGCAGGAGUGAUGAUGUCCCCAUGGGAGCAGUGGGCAGAAUGAUGCGGUCACUGGAAUGAGCGUGUGAGCCAGGGGCUGAGGCGGGUCCUGCCCUGCAACCUCCUGCAGCAGCGCUGCCCUGCCAAAUCUUUGACUUGAGCCCAGGGAGCUCUGCUCAAGAUUUUGAACCCCAGAACUGCACAAUAAUACAUUCCUGUGUUUCAGGUCACUCCGAUUGUGGUCAGGCAUCAGAGUGCCAGGAAACUGGCAGAACAGGGAGGGCACAUGCUUUUAUACCCUGCCUGCUCCUUUGUGUGUCUGCCAUUCUCGUUCCCUUUCCCUGCCCUGCCUGAUGAUAACUGGGUGAUCUGAGGCAGUUUUGAAUGUGGUCAGGUUUUUGUUGCGGAGUGGUGGGGAGGGGUAAGGCUAAGCAGGGUGCACUCUUGCAUUCAAGUCUGUAGUCUGAAAUACACUUUCUCCAAAUGAAUUUCCUUUGCCCAAGGCAGGCCGUGUUCCCGAGAUCCAGCGUUUAAGUUGGCCAUGGCUCACAGCGGGCCCUUUGUGUUUCUAGCUUGAGUUUGAUGCGUUCCUUUUCCUCUGAACAAGGUCAAGUCCACAGGCUCAGCAGCUCUGCUCUCACGGCCACGUGCUCUGCCACGACCAGCUGUAUCAGGGCCAGGCUGUUUCUCCCAGCAGGACCUGUAUGUCCUCGGGCCUCAGGAGGUGGUCUGUGGCUGGCUGUGUCUCUUCCUGAUUGCUUUGGUUCUGGUAUACUCAGUGAUUUGUGGUUUGUGGUUGUAUCUGUCUCUUUGAUUCAUUGGGGGUGGAAUGUAUUUCUCAUUUUCUCUCUCCCUUUUGUUUUUUAUUGUUUUUGGGGCUCUCAGAGAGUGUGGAGGAGUAAAUUGUUCACUAGAAGCUGGGAAGCUGCUGUCUGGUGCAUGAUUAUGUGGAUGUUGCAAGAUUUUGCUUCUAAUCUUUGGGGACACCUUGUGCUUUGAGAAAGAGAAACAGGUCACUGUUUUGCCUGGGGGGCUGGGCAUUGUUUAGUAACUUUGGGGUUCCUGUUCCAAGUAGGGUUUUGGUCUUGUUUCAGAGCAUUUCUUCACAAAGGCUGUUCUGUUAGAUUGAACAAGCGAGAUUGUAUUAGAGAUGGGGUAGCUCCCAAGCCAGCCAGGCCUUUCCUUGCACACUGGCGCGAGGGGAACGGAUGCUAUCCUGGAUAUCGGUCCUCCUUUGCCUCUGAGGCCUGACCCUGCACACUCUGACUGGGGUGGUAUUGUAGAGAACUACGUGACUUUUCCUCAGUUUCCCAUUUCCUACAGCACAGAUUACCUUUGUAAACAGCUCACUUGCUCCUGUCUACCCAGGAGUGGUGUCGUUACUGAGCUGGGUUGAUGUUCAUGGUCUCCUUGCAUUCUCUGGGGACCCAGACUGCAUUUUGGAACAGUUUACAGUGACUUAAGGCUGCAACAACUUUAAAGUGGAAAAAUCCUAAGUUGGAAAGGCUGAGUGUUGGUGAGGACUUUGCCCCAUUGAAUCCACUGUGUGCUGCCCUGCCUGGAGCCUCUUCAGCCUGCUGCUCUGCAAGCCAAGUGGUAUAGAAGCGGGGAGCCGCCUCUGUCACUGUCGUCAGUUACUGGGGGAACCUAUAAUGCCUUAAAAAGAUUGUGAGCUGAAGUCUUCAAAUAUUUUUAUCCUUUCUCUACCUGCCUCCCUGUUUGUGUACGGCUCUGGGCUUGUCAGUCAUAAGGAUGAGGAAUGAGCAGGCUGUGACAUCAGGAAAUCCAGAAGGGCUGAGCCCCAGCAUCCUUGUAAACAGGAAGUCAGCAGAGCCCCAGUUCCAGCCAUGGGCUCCCUCAGUGUGCUGUUGUGAAGGUGGUGAGAGGGCGGUGUUUAGCUGGUGUUUGGGAAUGACAGCAUCCCAGACCUGAACGGGCAGAAGGAGUAGAACUUUGGAAAACAGCCCUCCGGGUCUUCCUUGUGUAUCUGGGAAGACAGGAGAAGGAGCUGUCCGUGGCUUCUCCCAGCAGUGCACACAUGCCUGGCGUCAGUGCUAGGACGCAUGAGCCGUGAGCUCCUCAGGGAUUACCCACUACCCCUUAGCUCCUUUCUUCUCCAGCGUGUGGUUUAUUGAUCUGCUCGGUUCUGUUCUCCAGUUCUUAACCAUCUUCUCUUAUAAUCCCUUCCUCUGUACAGCUCAUUAUUAAUCGUGUUCUCUGUGCUACCUUCCACUUCACUAAUUGGCCAGUAAUCUAUGUCAAAUCUACUAUAAAAAAGUAGCACUUAGGCUUUGAUUUCUAUAAUUAUAUUACUUGUUUUCAUAAGUUCUCUUCCUCUGUCCCCUCCCCAGGGUUUUUUUUUUUUUUUUUUUUUUUUUUUUUUUUUUUUUGGUCUUUUUCGUUUUUAUUGGUACCAGGGAUCGAACUCAUGACUGCACACUUGCAAGGCAGGCGCUUAUGCCGCUGAGCUAAAUCCCCAGUCUCCCCCCCCCCCAGGCUUUUUAUAGUGCCAUACUUCCUUUGUGGUUUCAGGAAUCGAACUCAAGGCCUUGCACUGGACAGGCAGGUGCUGUGCUGCUGAGCUACAUCCUUGUCCCAGUGUGGCACUUUUUACUUAGAGUUUUUGUUGCUUUUCUUACAGUGUGUGAGAACUGAGCUAGCAGAAGAAUAUUCACGUGAAUAUACUUCAAUCAAUCACUUAAGCGUAUUAGCCACUUCUGAGCAUCAUUUGUUACCUGAACUUGGUGAUAGUGGCAUGGAGGUAGUUUUCUACUGUUUGUCUGGUCCACUGGCCUAUUCUCUUGAAGGGCUGCUACCUUUUGUGUUUGGUCACUUGGUGAGAGCAUCCUCAACUUGCCUGGCCAGUGAGGUUGUAUUUGUUCUUCUCAGGUCCCCAGAGGUGUGGUGGAUGGGUGGUUGUGAGCAGAGCUGCUGUCCGAGCUAAGGACCCUUGGAAGAUGUGUCCAUCACCCAGCCUGCAGUGAGGGCUGCUGAGAGAAAUGCUGUGUUCAUUAGAGGUGCAGUGCACGUGGGCCUUAGGCCAGGGCCAGCACAGGGAUUCUGCGGGCUCAUGGCAUGGGGUCCUCUGAAGUUAGGCAUGGAUUAGGAAAUGCAGCCGCGGCACAGCGAAGCAGUGGCUGGUACACUGGCAUCACAAGUUCUGAAAGUGUCUGGUGAAUGGCCAUGAUCGGAGCAGUAUUGGUCCUGCUGGGGCAGGGCAAGCCGCGCACGGAAGGCUGGCCAUGUGUGGAGUCUGUGGAUGAAACCUGUUUGAGGUUUCUGAUCUUCUGCUCGCUCAUUUCUCAUGAACUUUAAGAAGAACAUAGAACACUUCCGAAGUUUGUGGUUGAGCGCUGCCCCAGGCCAACUGACGCGCACACUUCUCUCACCCCGGCCUCCACAGUGUGUGGCUGCCCUGUCCCACUGGGGCUGCUGCCGCUCCCUACAUCCUGUGUUGUUGCUUUCUUUUCUCUAGUGCUGCCUUUCCCGGGACACACUCCCGCUCAGUUUUCCUUCCAAAAGCCUUUUCCUGCCUGUCUUCCUGCAGGCACUGAGGCCAGUCCUGUGAGCCACGGGCAACAUCACAGCUCAUGAGCUUCCCAGGGAUCUCUGCAUGUCGGGUCAUGGCCCCUGCAGGGCAGGCUGUGGUCUCCAUGUGUUUAGGAAUCUCAUCCACAAGGCACCUUUCUCACAGUGGUACAGGCUUGUACAUUCACGACAUUCGAAAGGCUCUUUAGAUCACACACAAAACUCUGUCUCUGUCUUGAAAUCUCUGAGCCCUCCAGUGCCCCAUGAACCUCUACCACCAGCACCCCUGCUAUAAAUAGAUUUGAGUGUGGAGUCCUUUCAUGCCCUCUCUGGAAGGGGUAGGGUAUGAAGUCACUGCGACCUGAGGUCUUCACAAGUAGGCUGCUUUCUGCUGUGACAAAGGUGAGAACGUGAUGAGUUGUAGGGAGAGAACCGACUCCUUGCUCUUCAGUUGUUAUUACAUCCUGGGUCCAUUUCUGUCACGUGCUCAGCCUUAUGUGAGAGUGCGUGGCCUGCCUCAGGGUGCUGUCUCCUGCUGUGCACUUACUCUGAGGGGUGAUGGUCUCAGGAGGAAAGCGGGUCCCUCCCCACCUUGUCUGAGGGUAGGGAGUCAGCUCCCCACUCCUGUUGCCUCUAUUUCUGCUUUUAAUCUAUUGCUGGGUCUCACUGCCCUCACCUUUGUAUCAUACACUCAUUGGAGACUUUUGGUUUAAACAUUUUCUUUCUUAUAAAAAUGGCAAAUACUCUGGGAAAAUAGUCAAUGGAGAGGAAAUAAACAGUCAUGUGUACACAGA